UUUAUCCCUCAAGAAAAUAUCAAAUACGGAAGAGAAAGAUUGAGAUGCUUCGGAGGCGGCGCACUGCUAUUGGCCAGUGGUUCACCGCUACAUGCCGGGACCGUUUGAUUUACUUAUCUCGAGUUCUCGACCCAGGAUGGGCUCGCCGUGUUUGCUAGCUCUGGGUACCGACUGCCGAGGGCGGAGGGACUGUGCCCUAGCGGUGCACGCUGGCUUCGGUUGUCAAGGGGCAGCGCGACGGCGUGCGGUACGCAUGCGCGCCUGGCCUGGUCGAUGACGGCUCCACGCACGGCGCUGGCUGCUCCAAAAGUGAAGCUCCGACGACGACACCCAGACCCAGAAGCCAGUCGACGUGUCCCACAUUAGCGGCACGGUCCAGGCCGGCGUGCCCGACGCCGGUGCCGUGAUGACGGUGCUCGUCUCAGUAGGCGUUGCUCUUCGGCGGUGCAGGUCAAUGACGGUGAACAAAGCGGAUACGGUGAGUCUUCUUGGGGUGAGGCCGUGCUCAGUCCCUGUGCAACCCCAGACCUUCACCCAUGCCGCCCCAUCUCCACUGGGCCGCCGUUGUUGCUGUUACCGCACAGGCCAACGCUAGUUCUCCAUUGCUCCACCUGAUUCUACACCGCCCACAAGGUGUUCGACAGAUUGUCUCACAUGUUUAUUUUCAAGUGUUAUGUCUUUCACUCUUUGCCGUAAACGCUGACUGAUGCAGCACCGUUGCUAAUUGCCUGUGCUCAAAAGUUAAAACACAAAUUGAGCGCCCCCCUCUUACCCGAGCUUCCAGCAGCAUCCUCUUCGUCAUGGUGUCAAUGAAGGUAAGCUUAAUAGUCCAUCCAUCGGAUCUUACGGACCACUGAAUUUUUUGCAUCUGAAGACUGAAGGUGUUCAUCACCUUGAGCAUUUACUUGUGUUCUCAUGUAUACCAUGUUCAACUGAGGCCAAUGGUUGAAAGAUAUUAUUUGAAAUGUUCCUUGGUUCGUCAGCAGGGCGCACACACUGUGUUUGACGACGACCCCGCUCCUGACCUGCUGUGCAUACCCUGCUUGUAAGAGAGGACCUUUUUAUGUCUAAUUAUUUUCCUGGGAGUUCCUAUGCUGGCAAAGUGGUGAGAUGCAUUCACAUUGGAAAAUUGUAUUGGUCAAAACUCAAAUUGAAGUAGCAGGCUCUGAUCCUCACUGCUUAGCUUUUCUAGAGAGGGUCAAAACUCAAAAGAUCUUUUGUUUUGGAACAUUUGUGUAUUUGGUGAAACCCUGGACAGAAGACCCAAUCCCGAGCUUCAUUUCCAGUUUAGCAGUGGCCGUGUGCGGGAAUGUUGCUUCUUUGAAAGGAUAUGGGCAGUAGAAGGUUAAGGAAAAUUUUGCUUUGGGAGAACGCAAAGAGAGAAAAGGGAUGCAAACAGAAGUCUGCUGGCCUGGUACAGUAUUUAACUUCUUGGUUGAUGUUGUUUGUCUAAACCAGCUUACAUGCAGGAUUACUUUUUUUUUUCUCUACUGAAGGAGUUAUAAUUAUACUCCGCGGUGUUGCUGCGUUUCAGUUUAAUAGCACCAUAUUCUGUCUUAGGAUUCAGUUCUGUACCUGUUACAUUUAGCAUUUCAACUUGACAACAAGCAUUGCCGAGACAAAGGCUUGAUAAAUAUUGGUUUCUGUGUUGCCAUUUGUUAGGAAUUUAAACAUGACUUACGGCCUAAUAAAGAAAAGAUGCAGGAAGCAGGAGGGAAGAUGACUUUCCCAGUCACACGAUCACUUGUAUUCACAAAAAUGCAGCUUGCCUAUUUGCUUCCUCAGUGUUGGGCAUGCUAUUUCAAUUAACUGAGUAUGGCAUUAUGUGAGCUCAGGUUUUUCUUUUGAAGCAACGAGCCACGUCGUCGAUUUCCAUUAGAGAAACCGACACAUAGACUUGUGCGCCUGAGAUUAGAUGGCUGGUAACCCGUCCAAUUUUGCUUCGGAUCCAGAAACCAGUAUGAAGGCACGACGGCUGUGCGGCCUCUGCCUCCCGGGAGCUCGUGGCAGCGGGGAGCCUCUACUUCCCACUUGGAAAGAGAGACAGGUGGCGUCUCGGAAUAGUAGACGCACAUUGGUUGAAAAAUGGAACCUUGAAUCGGACCAAACAGGAAGCAGAGAGGGAGAAGAGGAAGAAGCCGGAGGCGAAAGGGAUGGGUGGGCAGAGCCGCAGAGAGAGCAAUCCCCAAAAGCUACCCUCUUCUUUCUCCUCCACAGAACUCGAUUGCCAGGCAUCUUUACUCUGUGCUGCACCUCUUUUCUCCCGUGGACUUGGCCCAUGGACCAUGCUUGUGGCAAUUUUAUUCUCUUUUCUUUUUGAAUUACUGAUAUAGUAGCAGUUUUGAGAAUACGGAUCUCACGAGAAUAAUGUGCUCGAUUUUCUA